rnacentral:rRNA from 1 species
CAGUCGCCACGGGAAUACGAAGGGUGCAAGCGUUACUCGGAAUUACUGGGCGUAAAGCGUGCGUAGGCGGUGAGUUAAGUCUGCUGUGAAAUCCCCGGGCUCAACCUGGGAAUGGCAGUGGAUACUGGCAAGCUAGAGUGUGUCAGAGGAUGGUGGAAUUCCCGGUGUAGCGGUGAAAUGCGUAGAGAUCGGGAGGAACAUCAGUGGCGAAGGCGGCCAUCUGGGACAACACUGACGCUGAGGCACGAAAGCGUGGGGAGCAAACAGGAUUAGAUACCCCGGUAGUCCCUGUCUCUUAUAC